rnacentral:rRNA from 1 species
UUUAUAUGAGAGUUUGAUCCUGGCUCAGGAUGAACGCCGGCGGUGUGCCUAAUACAUGCAAGUCGUACGCACUGGCCCAACUGAUUGAUGGUGCUUGCACCUAAUUGACGAUGGAUCACCAGUGAGUGGCGGACGGGUGAGUAACACGUAGGUAACCUGCCCCGGAGCGGGGGAUAACAUUUGGAAACAGAUGCUAAUACCGCAUAACAACAAAAGCCACAUGGCUUUUGUUUGAAAGAUGGCUUUGGCUAUCACUCCGGGAUGGACCUGCGGUGCAUUAGCUAGUUGGUAAGGUAACGGCUUACCAAGGCGAUGAUGCAUAGCCGAGUUGAGAGACUGAUCGGCCACAAUGGAACUGAGACACGGUCCAUACUCCUACGGGAGG